rnacentral:rRNA from 1 species
UACGAAGGGGGCGAGCGUUGUUCGGAUUUACUGGGCGUAAAGCGCGCGCAGGUGGUUCCUUAAGUCUGAUGUGAAAGCCCACGGCUCAACCGUGGAGGGUCAUUGGAAACUGGGGAACUUGAGUGCAGAAGAGGAAAGUGGAAUUCCAAGUGUAGCGGUGAAAUGCGUAGAGAUUUGGAGGAACACCAGUGGCGAAGGCGACUUUCUGGUCUGUAACUGACACUGAGGCGCGAAAGCGUGGGGAGCAAACAGG